UUGGAGGGCAAGUCUGGUGCCAGCAGCCGCGGUAAUUCCAGCUCCAAUAGCGUAUAUUAAAGUUGUUGCAGUUAAAAAGCUCGUAGUUGAACUUCAGGCCUGUCCAGACGGUCCGCCUUAAUUGGUGUGUACUGUCCUUGGGUGGGUCCUACCUUCUGGCGAAGCGGCAUGGCCUUAAUUGGUUGUGUCGGGGAACCAGGACUUUUACUGCGAAAAAAUUAGAGUGUUCAAAGCAGGCAAAUAUGCUCGAAUACAUUAGCAUGGAAUAAUGGAAUAGGACGAUGGUUCUAUUUUGUUGGUUCUAGGACCGUUGUAAUGAUUAAUAGGGAUAGUUGGGGGCAUUAGUAUUCAAUCGUCAGAGGUGAAAUUCUUGGAUUUAUUGAAGACUAACUACUGCGAAGGCAUUUGCCAAGGAUGUUUUCAUUAAUCAAGAACGAAAGUUAGGGGAUCGAAGACGAUCAGAUACCGUCGUAGUCUUAACCAUAAACUAUGCCGACUAGGAAUCAGGCGAUGUUGACAAAAUGACUCGCUCGGCACCUCAUGGGAAACCAAAGUGUUUGGGUUC
rnacentral:rRNA from 1 species